UGAGGAACAUGACCUUCGGCGGGGGAUAGCCGGCCCAACGGCCGGGUAAUACCGCGUACGACCACAUGGGGACAUCCCUGAGUGGUGAAAGCAGCAAUGCGCCGAUGGAGUGCCUCGCGGCCUAUCAGCUAGUUGGGUGGGGUAACGGCUCACCAAGGCAACGAUGCGUAGCCGACCUGAGAGGGUGAUCCGGCCACAUUGGAACUGAGACACGGCCCAGACCUCCGUAGGGACGG
rnacentral:rRNA from 1 species